AAGGAACCCAUUCAACUAUAUAAUAACUAGCAAUGCUGCAUUGUUUUCCGCAAUAUUAAUUUUUGUUAUGUGUUUUUAUUGGUUUUAAUGGUUAUUGUUUUUGAAUCAUGAUAUUCAUAUUAUGAAAUGCAGUGUUGCAGAAUGAUUACCCCCGAUACAUUAUAAUGCAUUUUACAACAUAAUGAAAAUAUGAAUAUUAUGUAUGUAAUCUUUAACAAUAUGAUUUGAAUUUGUAUAUAUUGUAAAAAAUAAAAUGAUCAUUAUAUGCAAGUAUGUAGCAUGAACUUUAAAUUUAUUCAAAUUGUAGCAUCAUUUCAUGUUUACCGCUACUGUAAUUUAUAUUUUUUAAAAUCUAUAAUGUUUGGUCAUGCUACUACCAAAAAACAUUAUUUUCAUCGAUAAUGCAAAUAAUAUCUUAUAGGCUAGACAUGAUUAAUUGAAUAUUCUAAUCUAAAAUGUAAGGAAUAAUUUUAAAUAUUCAUCAAAAUUGCUUGCAUAAAAAUAACAUUUGUAAAAUUUAUGAAAAUAUUACAAAAAAAAAAAAAAAAUAAAUAGUUUUGUUUUC
rnacentral:sRNA from 1 species